GCAAGUCGAACGAACUUCCGUUAAUUGAUCAUGGACGUGCUUGCACUGAAUGAGAUUUUAACACGAAGUGAGUGGCGGACGGGUGAGUAACACGUGGGUAACCUGCCCAGAAGCAGGGGAUAACACCUGGAAACAGAUGCUAAUACCGUAUAACAGAGAAAACCGCCUGGUUUUCUUUUAAAAGAUGGCUCUGCUAUCACUUCUGGAUGGACCCGCGGCGCAUUAGCUAGUUGGUGAGGUAACGGCUCACCAAGGCGAUGAUGCGUAGCCGACCUGAGAGGGUAAUCGGCCACAUUGGGACUGAGACACGGCCCAGACUCCUACGGGAGGCAGCAGUAGGGAAUCUUCCACAAUGGACGCAAGUCUGAUGGAGCAACGCCGCGUGAGUGAAGAAGGGUUUCGGCUCGUAAAGCUCUGUUGUUAAAGAAGAACGUGGGUGAGAGUAACUGUUCACCCAGUGACGGUAUUUAACCAGAAAGCCACGGCUAACUACGUGCCAGCAGCCGCGGUAAUACGUAGGUGGCAAGCGUUAUCCGGAUUUAUUGGGCGUAAAGCGAGCGCAGGCGGUCUUUUAAGUCUAAUGUGAAAGCCUUCGGCUCAACCGAAGAAGUGCAUUGGAAACUGGGAGACUUGAGUGCAGAAGAGGACAGUGGAACUCCAUGUGUAGCGGUGAAAUGCGUAGAUAUAUGGAAGAACACCAGUGGCGAAAGCGGCUGUCUGGUCUGUAACUGACGCUGAGGCUCGAAAGCAUGGGUAGCGAACAGGAUUAGAUACCCUGGUAGUCCAUGCCGUAAACGAUGAUUACUAAGUGUUGGAGGGUUUCCGCCCUUCAGUGCUGCAGCUAACGCAUUAAGUAAUCCGCCUGGGGAGUACGACCGCAAGGUUGAAACUCAAAAGAAUUUGA
rnacentral:rRNA from 1 species